ACAACCUCACCCUAGUACGGGUAAUGCUAAUAACAGACUUUGGUUUGUCACUAUGAAAGACAAACCAAAACAAUAAAGUGCCUAGAAUUAUCACAGUAGGAGGCUAAUUCAUUACCUGAAGAAGAGCUCGGUGUAGCUUGAAAGCUUGUCUCUCUUCCAAACAGAAGUUAGUCCAAUAAAAGAUAUUACCUCAACCACCUUGUCUUUAAUUCAUUAGAGUGAAAAAGCAGCAGUGGGGGAACUUGAGCCAUCUUGACCGGUACCAUUGAGGGGAAAACAUCUCCAACACCUGUUCAUGAGGAGUGCACACACCUACAGUGGAACAGACAUGCACAAACACUCAAAGACGAACAAGACCUUGACAUGAGGAUUGAGCCUUCCAAUCAUAACUGAAAGAACGUUCAAUUUUGGGGAGAUGACCAAAACCAUAUGGGAUUCCACCAGGUAAAGCAGGGCACAAUUUGCCUCCUUUGGCUCAGCUAGGAACAGCAGUAAUGUUCUCUGAAGGAAGCACCAUCCAUCCUCUUCAAUCAAUAAUGCCUGACUUCUUCUUUGGCCGUAGAGGAGAAAAAGGAAUCCUUUAUUGAGGAAAAUGUAAAAGAGGACUCAUGCUUCUUACUUUAUGUAUAAACUAGUUCCUCUGUUUUCUUUAUCUUACUCUAGUUGCCUAAAUCAUUUACAUACAUGCUUGAUCUAUCAUCUGCUGAACAUUUUCUAUAUUUAGUCUUACUACAGCCAACGCUUCACUUGGACAGUGACCAAACUCAUCCUCUGUAUUGAUACACAUGCCAGGCAUGGCUAUUCAAUUCAGCUCUGAAGUAUCUCUAACUGGUAUUUAGUUCCAUAAAUACCCAGGUAUGCUAUUUGGGCACCUAACUGAAGCAGCCAAAUUUGAAACUUUGUCCCUACGAGAAAAUUGAUGGAAAUGAAUAUAGAUCUAAUACUGAAACCACCACUAUACCAACAGCUAGUCACCAGAAACAGAUAUACUCAAAGAUGUAAAUUCAUUUAAACUAAAUGACCUUUUAGAUAAAUAAAGAACUGCAAGUUCCACUGGGGCAGAACCUAUUUCUCAAAACUUGCAAAGUUCCAGUGUCAACAACGGGGAAAGUUAAAAUUAACAACUAAGACUGACCACAACCAACAGGCCACUGACCUAUGAACCAUCACUGAUAUCAGAUGCACAUUUCACAAAUAAAAAUGUGUUUUUUAUGAAAUCAUAACUGAAGGAGCAAGUUCUUUGACUUAAGUGUCAUCCAGUGUUUAACUCUAUCAUUUUUGACAAACAGCCUCCAACAAUUCAAAGACUAAUUUUAUCAUGUGUUCCAAAAUAUAAGUAUCAUCAUAACCAGACUAUUGGUCUAUCAAGUCAGUACUCUAUAUAUCCAGCAGAUGCUUCAGACAGGCAAAAAGCCCCAUUUUGCGCACUCAUUUAUGCAAAUCUGUAAGAGGUGGGGUACAGAAUUUCUUCCUGAGUUAAUCUGGAUUAACCUAAUGUUUGUAUAACUACAAAUGGUAUCACCUAAAGCAAUGCAAAUGUUUUUAAGAAGUCCACUGUGUGACUGCACCCUGUCUCACUGAAUUUCACAGGCUACAUACACAUGGUGUAUAAAACAUAUUUAUAUAUAUUUCAUUCAUUCAGUAUUUAGUUUAUCCUUCUGCAUGCUACUAUUUAGAACUUCAGGUCCUGAUCCCACUCCCAACUAUAUCUUUUCUGACAGUUCUUCAGUGGCAUAAGGGAGCCAA